UACGGAGGGUGCGAGCGUUGUCCGGAAUCACUGGGCGUAAAGGGCGCGUAGGCGGCCUGAUAAGUAGGGGGUGAAAUCCUGCGUCUUAACCGCAGGGCUGCCUUCUAAACUGUCAGGCUCGAGCACAGUAGAGGCAGGUGGAAUUCCCGGUGUAGCGGUGGAAUGCGUAGAGAUCGGGAAGAACAUCAGUGGCGAAGGCGGCUUGCUGGGCUGUUGCUGACGCUGAGGCGCGACAGCGUGGGGAGCAAACAGG
rnacentral:rRNA from 1 species